GCCUUAGUAACGGCGAGUGAAGCGGCAACAGCUCAAAUUUGAAAGCUGGCCCUUUUAGGGUCCGCGUUGUAAUUUGUAGAGGAUGAUUCGGCGAGGGCUCCUGCCUAAGUCCCCUGGAACGGGGCGUCAUAGAGGGUGAGAAUCCCGUAUGCGGUAGGUUGCCUUAGCCAUGUGAAUCUCCUUCGACGAGUCGAGUUGUUUGGGAAUGCAGCUCUAAAUGGGAGGUAAAUUUCUUCUAAAGCUAAAUACUGGCCAGAGACCGAUAGCGCACAAGUAGAGUGAUCGAAAGAUGAAAAGCACUUUGGAAAGAGAGUUAAAAAGUACGUGAAAUUGUUGAAAGGGAAGCGCUUGCAACCAGACUUGUCCGCAGUUGCUCAGCCGGUCUCCUGACCGGCGUACUCUUCUGCGGCCAGGCCAGCAUCAGUUCGGGCGGUCGGAUAAAGGCCUCGGGAAUGUAGCUCCUCUCGGGGAGUGUUAUAGCCCGGGGUGGAAUGCGACCAGCCUGGACUGAGGAUCUCGCUUCGGCAAGGAUGCUGGCGUAAUGGUUGUAAGCGGCCCGUCUUGAAACACGGACCAAGGAGUCUAACAUCUAUGCGAGUGUUCGGGUGUCAAACCCGUACGCGUAAUGAAAGUGAACGGAGGUGGGAACCCGCAAGGGUGCACCAUCGGCCGAUCCUGAUGUCUUCGGAUGGAUUUGAGCAAGAGCAUAGCUGUUGGGACCCGAAAGAUGGUGAACUAUGCCUGAAUAGGGUGAAGCCAGAGGAAACUCUGGUGGAGGCUCGCAGCGGUUCUGACGUGCAAAUCGAUCGUCAAAUUUGGGUAUAGGGGCGAAAG
rnacentral:rRNA from 1 species